UUUCCGUAGGUGAACCUGCGGAAGGAUCAUUAGUGAUUUGGCCGAAAGGCCUCAUUUCGAUUCUCACAACACCUGUGAACUGUAGGGGCCUCCGGGCCUCCCAUUACAAACAUUAGUGUAACGAACGUCAAAUGUAUCUUAACAUAAAUAAAACUUUCAACAACGGAUCUCUUGGCUCUCGCAUCGAUGUAGAACGCAGC
rnacentral:misc_RNA from 1 species